rnacentral:rRNA from 1 species
AUGAACAAACAAGAAGCGAGUGGCUUCAUCGACCGAACAACAACCUUGAUUUCAAACUUGUGGCUUAAAUUAUGCGCGUCGGAUGUGGAACGGACGGACGGAUCAGGCGCAGGUGUAGCCCGGGGGCACGGCGCAGCCGCAGUCGUUGACGAGCAGCUGGAGGGCGAGCGGCACGUAGAGGGCGAGGUUGAGCACCUUGGCCUUGAUGGCCGUGCAGAGGCACGCCGCGGCGGUGAGCCCGGCGAUGCCCUCCACGAGCGGGCAGCACUUGACGCUGGCGUCGCCGAUGUGCAGCUCGUUGCCGAGCAGGUCCAGGCACACGCCCAGCUUCAGCGUGUCGAUCGGGCACGUGUCGGAGGAGGGCGUGGGGCUAGGCGUGGGCGUCGGCGGAGUCGGCGCCGGGGUCGGGGGAGACGGGGUGGGGGUCGGGGGCGAGGGAGGGCACGCCUUGCGUCCGCCGUGGCGGGUCUUGGGGGACGGGGAGCCCCCGAUGAUGGGAGCCACGACGCCGAUGACGGGAGUGACAACUCCCCCGACGACGGGGACGCCGCCAACCACGCCGCCUACGGUGCCGACGACAGGAGAGACCACGCCACCGGCGGCAGGGACGGCGCCGCUGACGACGGGGACUUUGCCGACGACGCCGCCUACGGUGCCGACAACAGGAGCAACCGCGCCGCCGACGGCUGGGGUGACUUUGCCGACGACACCGCCCACGGUGGGGACGGCGCCGCCGACGACUGGGGUGACUUUGCCGACGACACCGCCCACGGUGGGGACGGCGCCGCCGACGACACCGCCGAUGACCGGGGUGACUUUGCCGACGACACCGCCGACGGUGGGGACGGCGCCGCCGAUGAUCGGAGUGACGGUGCCAACGAUACCGCCGACCGGGGGUAUGCUGACGCCGCCGGCCGAGGGCGUGCCGCUCGACGGGGUGCCGCUGCCGCACCCGGAGGCGGGGGAGCACGCGAGCACGACGGUGGGCGAGGAGAGCGCCAGCAUGGCGAGCACCAGCAGCGCGGAGAUCUUCGUGGACUCCAUUGCAGCUACCUCUCCGAGCUCAGGCGGCGAUCGACCGGGUCCGUGUUACGUGGGGUGCUGUUGUGCCUGUGUCUCUGGCCGAGCACGCUUUUAUAG